rnacentral:rRNA from 1 species
AGGGUUUGAUCCUGGCUCAGGAUGAACGCUGGCGGCGUGCUUAACACAUGCAAGUCGAACGAACCUUCGGGUUAGUGGCGGACGGGUGAGUAACGCGUGAGAAUCUGCCCUCAGGAGGGGGAUAACGGUUGGAAACGACCGCUAAUACCCCAUAUGCCUACUGGUGAAACGAAUUUCGCCUGAGGAUGAGCUCGCGUCUGAUUAGCUAGUUGGUGUGGUAAUGGCUCACCAAGGCUUCGAUCAGUAGCUGGUCUGAGAGGAUGAUCAGCCACACUGGGACUGAGACACGGCCCAGACUCCUACGGGAGGCAGCAGUGGGGAAUUUUCCGCAAUGGGCGAAAGCCUGACGGAGCAACGCCGCGUGAGGGACGAAGGCCUCUGGGCUGUAAACCUCUUUUCUCAAGGAAGAAGAUAUGACGGUACUUGAGGAAUAAGCCACGGCUAAUUCCGUGCCAGCAGCCGCGGUAAUACGGGAGUGGCAAGCGUUAUCCGGAAUUAUUGGGCGUAAAGCGUCCGCAGGCGGCUUUUCAAGUCUGCUGUUAAAGCGUGGAGCUUAACUCCAUCAUGGCAGUGGAAACUGAAAGGCUUGAGUAUGGUAGGGGCAGAGGGAAUUCCCGGUGUAGCGGUGAAAUGCGUAGAUAUCGGGAAGAACACCAGUGGCGAAGGCGCUCUGCUGGGCCAUUACUGACGCUCAUGGACGAAAGCCAGGGGAGCGAAAGGGAUUAGAUACCCCUGUAGUCCUGGCCGUAAACGAUGAACACUAGGUGUCGGGGGAAUCGACCCCUUCGGUGUCGUAGCUAACGCGUUAAGUGUUCCGCCUGGGGAGUACGCACGCAAGUGUGAAACUCAAAGGAAUUGACGGGGGCCCGCACAAGCGGUGGAGUAUGUGGUUUAAUUCGAUGCAACGCGAAGAACCUUACCAGGGUUUGACAUCCUGCGAACCUCUUAGAAAUUUGAGGGUGCCUUCGGGAAUGCAGUGACAGGUGGUGCAUGGCUGUCGUCAGCUCGUGUCGUGAGAUGUUGGGUUAAGUCCCGCAACGAGCGCAACCCACGUUUUUAGUUGCCAGCAUUUAGUUGGGCACUCUAGAAAGACCGCCGGUGAUAAACCGGAGGAAGGUGUGGAUGACGUCAAGUCAUCAUGCCCCUUACACCCUGGGCUACACACGUACUACAAUGCUACGGACAAAGGGCAGCAAACUCGCGAGAGCUAGCAAAUCCCAUAAACCGUGGCUCAGUUCAGAUCGUAGGCUGCAACUCGCCUACGUGAAGUAGGAAUCGCUAGUAAUCGCAGGUCAGCAUACUGCGGUGAAUACGUUCCCGGGCCUUGUACACACCGCCCGUCACACCAUGGAAGUUGGCCAUGCCCGAAGUCGUUACUCCAACCCUUGUGGAGGAGGACGCCGAAGGUGGGGCUAAUGACUGGGGUGAAGUCAUAACAAGGUAGCCGUA